UCCACAAGCCUUAAAUCCAGUCUUGAGGCCUAUGUCUUUUGUCAGCACUUCCUGUGUUUGAUGAGAGAUAGCUAGCAACCUCUGGUUGUAUGUCAGGAUUGGAUGAGUCAUUCUUGUGGUAAAGUAAUAUACCUUAAUCCUGUGACUGGUAAUUGUAUUGUUCAUCAGACUUUACAUUGUCACUUGUUUGGACAAA